rnacentral:rRNA from 1 species
GACGAACGCUGGCGGCGUGCCUAAUACAUGCAAGUUGAGCGCUGAAGGUUGGUACUUGUACCAACUGGAUGAGCAGCGAACGGGUGAGUAACGCGUGGGGAAUCUGCCUUUGAGCGGGGGACAACAUUGGGAAACGAAUGCUAAUACCGCAUAAAAACUUUAAACACAAGGUUUAAGUUUGAAAGAUGCAAUUGCAUCGCUCAAAGAUGAUCCCGCGUUGUAUUAGCUAGUUGGUGAGGUAAAGGCUCACCAAGGCGAUGAUACAUAGCCGACCUGAGAGGGUGGUCGGCCGCCUUGGGACUGUGACACGGCCCAAACUCCUUCGGGAGGCAGCAGUAGGGCAUCUUCGGCCAUGGGCGGAAGUCUGACCGAGCUACGCCGCGUGAGUGUAGAAGGUUUUCGGGUCGUAAAACUCUGUUGGUAGAGAAGAACGUUGGUGAGAGUGGAAAGCUCAUCAAGUGACGGUAACUACCCAGAAAGGGCCGGCUAACUACGUG